GAUGAACGCUGGCGGCGUGCCUAAUACAUGCAAGUCGAGCGAACAGACGAGGAGCUUUCUCCUCUGACGUUAGCGGCGGACGGGUGAGUAACACGUGGAUAACCUACCUAUAAUACUUGGAUAACUUCGUGAAACCGGAUCUAAUACCGGAUAAUAUAUUGUACCGCAUAGAUCAGUAGUUAAAGACAGUUUUCCUGUCACUUAUAGAUGAUGCCGCGCCGCAUUAGCUAGUUGGUAAGGUAACGGCUUACCAAGGCAACGAUGCGUAGCCGACCUGAGAGGGUGAUCGGCCACACUGGAACUGAGACACGGUCCAGACUCCUACGGGAGGCAGCAGUAGGGAAUAUUGCGCAAUGGGCGAAAGCCUGACGGAGCAACGCCGCGUGAGUGAUGAAGGUCUUCGGGUCGUAAAGCUCUGUUAUUAGGGAAGAAAAAAUGUGUAAGUAAAUAUGCACGUCUUGACGGUACCUAAUCAGAAAGCAACGGCUAACUACGUG
rnacentral:rRNA from 1 species